GAUGAACGCUGGCGGCGUGCCUAAUACAUGCAAGUCGAGCGAACAGAUAAGGAGCUUGCUCCUUUGACGUUAGCGGCGGACGGGUGAGUAACACGUGGGUAACCUACCUAUAAGACUGGGAUAACUUCGGGAAACCGGAGCUAACACCGGAUAACAUUUGGAACCGCAUGGUUCUAAAGUGAAAGAUGGUUUUGCUAUCACUUAUAGAUGGACCCGCGCCGUAUUAGCUAGUUGGUAAGGUAACGGCUUACCAAGGCGACGAUACGUAGCCGACCUGAGAGGGUGAUCGGCCACACUGGAACUGAGACACGGUCCAGACUCCUACGGGAGGCAGCAGUAGGGAAUCUUCCGCAAUGGGCGAAAGCCUGACGGAGCAACGCCGCGUGAGUGAUGAAGGGUUUCGGCUCGUAAAACUCUGUUAUUAGGGAAGAACAAAUGUGUAAGUAACUGUGCACGUCUUGACGGUACCUAAUCAGAAAGCCACGGCUAACUACGUG
rnacentral:rRNA from 1 species